rnacentral:rRNA from 1 species
GACAGAGGAUGCAAGCGUUAUCCGGAAUGAUUGGGCGUAAAGCGUCUGUAGGUGGCUUUUUAAGUCUGCCGUCAAAUCCCAGGGCUUAACCCUGGACAGGCGGUGGAAACUACCAAGCUGGAGUACGGUAGGGGCAGAGGGAAUUUCCGGUGGAGCGGUGAAAUGCAUAGAUAUUAUCAAGAACACCGAUUGCGAAGGCAGCUUACUAAGGAGUUACUGACACUGAGGCACGAAAGCGUGGGGAUCAAGCAGG